AUAAGCACUUGUACUGUGAAACUGCGAAUGGCUCAUUAAAUCAGUUAUCGUUUAUUUGAUAGUACCUUACUACAUGGAUACCUGUGGUAAUUCUAGAGCUAAUACAUGCUAAAAACCCCGACUUCAGGAAGGGGUGUAUUUAUUAGAUAAAAAACCAACGCCCUUCGGGGCUCCUUGGUGAAUCAUAAUAACUUAACGAAUCGCAUGGCCUUGCGCCGGCGAUGGUUCAUUCAAAUUUCUGCCCUAUCAACUUUCGAUGGUAGGAUAGUGGCCUACCAUGGUGGCAACGGGUAACGGGGAAUUAGGGUUCGAUUCCGGAGAGGGAGCCUGAGAAACGGCUACCACAUCCAAGGAAGGCAGCAGGCGCGCAAAUUACCCAAUCCCGAUACGGGGAGGUAGUGACAAUAAAUACUGAUACGGGGCUCUUUUGGGUCUCGUAAUUGGAAUGAGAACAAUUUAAAUCCCUUAACGAGGAACAAUUGGAGGGCAAGUCUGGGCCAAC
rnacentral:rRNA from 1 species